AGAGUUUGAUCCUGGCUCAGAUUGAACGCUGGCGGCAGGCUUAACACAUGCAAGUCGAGCGGAGCGAAGGUGCUUGCACCUUAGCUUAGCGGCGGACGGGUGAGUAAUGCUUAGGAAUCUGCCUAUUAGUGGGGGACAACGUUUCGAAAGGAACGCUAAUACCGCAUACGUCCUACGGGAGAAAGCAGGGGAUCUUCGGACCUUGUGCUAAUAGAUGAGCCUAAGUCGGAUUAGCUAGUUGGUGGGGUAAAGGCCUACCAAGGCGACGAUCUGUAGCGGGUCUGAGAGGAUGAUCCGCCACACUGGGACUGAGACACGGCCCAGACUCCUACGGGAGGCAGCAGUGGGGAAUAUUGGACAAUGGGCGAAAGCCUGAUCCAGCCAUGCCGCGUGUGUGAAGAAGGCCUUUUGGUUGUAAAGCACUUUAAGCGAGGAGGAGGAGCUUCAGGUUAAUACCCUGGAUGCUUGGACGUUACUCGCAGAAUAAGCACCGGCUAACUCUGUGCCAGCAGCCGCGGUAAUACAGAGGGUGCAAGCGUUAAUCGGAUUUACUGGGCGUAAAGCGUGCGUAGGCGGCUAAUUAAGUCAAAUGUGAAAUCCCCGAGCUUAACUUGGGAAUUGCAUUCGAUACUGGUUAGCUAGAGUAUGGGAGAGGAUGGCAGAAUUCCAGGUGUAGCGGUGAAAUGCGUAGAGAUCUGGAGGAAUACCGAUGGCGAAGGCAGCCAUCUGGCCUAAUACUGACGCUGAGGUACGAAAGCAUGGGGAGCAAACAGGAUUAGAUACCCUGGUAGUCCAUGCCG
rnacentral:rRNA from 1 species